CUUCCUCCCCGUGGCCUCCUCCUCCCCGUGCUCGCCCCUCCUGGCGUCCCCUCCCCAUCCGAGGCCUUUCGAAGCCUCCCCGGGUGCCAGCCUCCCCGGGGCGACCUCCCGGCCUCCCUUUUUCCCCCCUCCCCCCCCAGGAGCACAAGGCCGCGGUGACGGCGCUGGAGCGGCGCGUGGCGCAGGCCAAGACGCGCUACUCGGUGGCCCUGCGCAACCUGGAGCAGAUCAGCGAGCAGAUCCACGCCCGCCGCCUCCAGCGCCUCGUCCUCCGCCGGGCCUCCCCCGUCGGGGCCGAGGCCGGCGAGGCCGGGGAGGCCGGCGAGGCCGGGCAGCGAGGGGCCGAGGGGCCCCCGGCGGACGCGCUCUCGGUGCUCAGCCUCCAGACCAUCGCCUCCGACCUGCAGAAGUUCGACUCGGUGGAGCACCUCCUCGGCCUCUCCGACGCCGCCAGCCUCAACAGCGGCGAGACGGAGGAGCGGGAGCAGCGCCGCGGAGGCCAGGGCCUCUUCAGGCACCACCGCAGCAUCAGCCUCUAGCCCCCUCUGGCCUCCUCUUCCUCCUCCGCACGGAGUCACGAGGCCGCCGCGCCCGCGGGGUAGAGGCUGGAGCCUCCUCUUCCUCCUCUAGCCUCCUCUUGCCUCCUCUUCCUCCUCCCCACGGACAGACGAGGCCGCCGCGCCCCCGGGGGUAGAGGCUGGAGCCUCCCCGGCGGACAAAAACGGGGCAACCACCCCCGCGCCCCCCCCAAAAAAAAAAGGAGGCAGCCCUGGGAGGACCCCUCAAGGCCGAGCCUCCACCCCCCCGGACAGCGGAGGCCGGCUUCGCGCAGCGGGGCGGCGAUGAGAACCGCGCCGGUUCGAGCGGCCCCCGGCGGCGCUGGGGGGGGGGCUCCCCGGCCUCCCCCCCCCCCUUUUAAUUUCGGGGGGGGGUCCCCAGGGGGGCUGCGGCCCCCCCCAGCACGAGGAGCCCCCCCCCUCGGGCGGAUUUUGGGGCGUUUUGGGGGAUUUUCCCGCCGCGGAGCGCGAGGGAAACAUUCCGCUCCAGAGUGAACGCCGCCCCCCCGCUCGCGGGCCAGUAAAUUAAAUAAAAAUUAGUAUUAAUAAUUAACGGAUCCGCCC
rnacentral:lncRNA from 1 species